UACGUAGGUGGCAAGCGUUGUCCGGAUUUACUGGGCGUAAAGAGCGCGCAGGCGGCUGGUCAAGUCCGAUGUGAAAUCUCCCGGCUUAACUGGGAAACUGCAUCGGAAACUGAUCGGCUUGAAGGUGGGAGAGGGUAGUGGAAUUCCCGGUGUAGUGGUGAAAUGCGUAGAUAUCGAGAGGAACACCGGUGGCGAAGGCGGCCAACUGGACGAAUACUGACGCUGAGACUCGAAAGCGUGGGGAGCAAACAGG
rnacentral:rRNA from 1 species